AAAUGGCUUUCCCUCCAGAGUGGAUCCUGAGUACGGCGGAACACGUGAAAUUCCGUCGGAAUCCGGGAGGACCAUCUCCCAAGGCUAAAUACUCCCUAGUGACCGAUAGUGAACCAGUACCGUGAGGGAAAGGUGAAAAGCACCCCGGAAGGGGAGUGAAACAGUUCCUGAAACCGUGUGCCUACAAGUAGUUAGAGCCCGUUAAUGGGUGAUAGCGUGCCUUUUGUAGAAUGAACCGGCGAGUUACGAUUUGUUGCAAGGUUAAGCGGAAAAAGCGGAGCCGUAGCGAAAGCGAGUCUGAAUAGGGCGCAUAAGUAACAGGUCGUAGACCCGAAACCAGGUGAUCUACCCAUGUCCAGGAUGAAGGUAAGGUAAUACUUACUGGAGGUCCGAACCCACGCACGUUGAAAAGUGCGGGGAUGAGGUGUGGGUAGCGGAGAAAUUCCAAUCGAACUUGGAGAUAGCUGGUUCUCUCCGAAAUAGCUUUAGGGCUAGCCUCGAGGUAAAGAGUCAUGGAGGUAGAGCACUGUUUGGACUAGGGGCCCUUCUCGGGUUACCGAAUUCAGAUAAACUCCGAAUGCCAUGUACUUAUACUCGGGAGUCAGACUGCGAGUGAUAAGAUCCGUAGUCGAAAGGGAAACAGCCCAGACCACCAGUUAAGGUCCCCAAAUAUAUGUUAAGUGGAAAAGGAUGUGGGGUUGCUUAGACAACCAGGAUGUUGGCUUAGAAGCAGCCACCAUUGAAAGAGUGCGUAAUAGCUCACUGGUCGAGUGACCCCGCGCCGAAAAUGUACCGGGGCUAAACAUAUUACCGAAACUGUGGAUGAACCUCUUUAGAGGUUCGUGGUAGGAGAGCGUUCUAAGGGCGGUGAAGUCAGACCGGAAGGACUGGUGGAGCGCUUAGAAGUGAGAAUGCCGGUAUGAGUAGCGAAAGAAGGGUGAGAAUCCCUUCCACCGAAUAUCUAAGGUUUCCUGAGGAAGGCUCGUCCGCUCAGGGUUAGUCGGGACCUAAGCCGAGGCCGAUAGGCGUAGGCGAUGGACAACAGGUAGAGAUUCCUGUAC
rnacentral:rRNA from 1 species